rnacentral:rRNA from 1 species
UUCCUACGGGAGGCAGCAGUGGGAAUAUUGGUCAAUGGCCGCAGGGCUGAACCAGCCAAGUCGCGUGAGGGAAGACGGCCCUAUGGGUUGUAAACCUCUUUUGUCGGAGAACAAAACCCGGGACGUGUCCCGGACUGCGUGUAUCCGAAGAAAAAGCAUCGGCUAACUCCGUGCCAGCAGCCGCGGUAAUACGGAGGAUGCGAGCGUUAUCCGGAUUUAUUGGGUUUAAAGGGUGCGUAGGCGGUCCGUUAAGCCAGCGGUAAAAUUGCGGGGCUCAACCCCGUCGAGCCGUUGAAACUGGCAGA